rnacentral:pre_miRNA from 1 species
AGGAGGAACAGCCCCAGUGGCGGGGCCAGCUCUGGAGCCCUGGAUUCAGCCCCCGCAGGAACUCCGGAGCUCUCCGUCUGCAGGGCCUGGAGGCUCCGGGGCGGG